UACGGUCAUAUAACUUUGAAACACCAUUUCACGUACGAUCACCGAAGCUAAGCAAGAUGUACCUGGUCACUACUUAGAUGGGUGACUGCUUGGGAAUACCAGCUGCUGUAAG